UUUGAUGAUUAUAGAUCAUUAACAACAAAAGAUAUGGGUUAAUCAUGCAUCAAAUUCAUAGAAAAUCAAAGAAUUAAGCAAUGCAUGCUCUACCUUUGAUAAAAUGUCUCUAAGGUGCUAAAUUAAUCAAAAAGGUGGAAGUUUGUUGAAGUUUGAUGUUGUGAAAUGUGAAAACAUGUGAGAGUAGAUGAUCUGGACAUUAGGAAUAAUUUAAUUGCAUGCUAGAAGCAAAAUCCCGAAUUUUUGUCAAAUUGGGUUUAACUAGUAAUCUGUGAUUUUUGGGGUUUUUCGGAGCCUCGAGAUCAUGGUGUAUAUGACUUGAUUAACAUAUGUAAU
rnacentral:lncRNA from 1 species